CCAAGACCCAAGAGGCAUCAUUCAUUUCUCUGUGUUCGCCUUAACAGCAGCUCCUCCUCUCAAACAGCAGGAAUUAUGGCUGCAGCAGCUGUCAAAGGAUUGUUCCUCAUCUUCUCUCUUCUGGCUCUGGUUUCUGUUAUCAACUCAAUGAUCAGCAAAAGUCACCUGAAAAUAAUUCAGGAAUACUACGAGGGUGGACUGAUGGAUGCAGCUGAUAAGAAGG